rnacentral:miRNA from 1 species
GGGAUAUGAAGAAAAAU